UACGUAGGGUGCAAGCGUUAAUCGGAAUUACUGGGCGUAAAGCGUGCGCAGGCGGUUGUGUAAGGCAGGUGUGAAAUCCCCGGGCUCAACCUGGGAACUGCAUUUGUGACUGCACAGCUGGAGUGCGGCAGAGGGGGAUGGAAUUCCGCGUGUAGCAGUGAAAUGCGUAGAUAUGCGGAGGAACACCGAUGGCGAAGGCAAUCCCCUGGGCCUGCACUGACGCUCAUGCCCGAAAGCGUGGGGAGCAAACAGG
rnacentral:rRNA from 1 species